ensembl:lncRNA
GUGUUACUGGGAAUCUAAAAGAUAGGCUACAUCUUUGUACCUUAUUUCCUCCUAAAUAAUACAUAUUAGUAGUAAAAUGUUUGUCUCUGUUGAAAAUUCAAACAUGGAAUAUGUUGGAUACUUGUAUCCAAACAAUGUUAAAAUGCAUUAAAUGUAUAGCCUAGUUUGUGCUUUCCCUGGUUAUAAUAUCAACAUGAUCUUGGCAUUGCAGCAUCUCGUGACCGAUAAGUAGGCUACUUAUAGCACUGGGCAAUGAUGAAGUCUGCUAAAGUCUACUUUGAAGAAAUGCGUGAUGCUAGGUCCGCAUUACAGUGAACAGUAGGGGUCGCACAAACACUAUAUUUGAUUGACUUCACGCUAGCACGCCGCUAGAUGCUUGUCACAGUCAUUAACCAAAUUAUUUUAUUUACAGUUUAGCUAACGACGUUGCAAUUUGCCUCAUUUUCUACCAAAUUAUACAAAUAUGAUUUAUUUACAGAAUGCAGCGUUCUUUUAUCAUAUAGCUAUCUGCAUAGAAUUAGCGUCAUAGAUAAAGAACGCGUGCACGGGUAAUUGAAACCAGUUCACCAGGAAACGGUGCGAUUGUUUAGAUGCCACGACGUUGCUGAAUCUUUUCUAGUAUGACACGAAAAACGCUUGGUUCCACUGGGGCUCGAACCCAGGACCUUCUGCGCGGGAGCCGAAAAUACAGGAUGAAGGUGAAGGUGAUCUUCCCAGGCAAAAUUAAAGUGUGCUUCAGGAAAGGACCAACUGGAUAUCUGAGACAAGAUCCCUCAGAUGAAGCCAAGAGGAUCAAAGACAACCCCAAUCUCCAGGACAAAUCAGCCCCUCAGGGGGAAGACAAGGUCAAGGAAAAUGCUCGCUCUGUUGUCUUCAUGAGAGGAGGAGAUGUGUCAGACAGACAGGAGGUGCUGGGAGAGUAUGUGCUUCAGUUUGGAAAGUACAAAGGCAAGUCAUUCCGGUGGCUGCUUGAGAAUGAUGUAGGCUAUACCAUGUUCUUGACUAAGAAGGUUGAGGACGAGGAGAGAGCCGGACAGUUUAAACCAGAGGGUCCCAAGAAGGACAGCCUACUUUCAUUUCUUGACUACAGUAGAAGCUUCCAGGAAAUCAAGGACCUCAUAAAGUAUUUAUCUGGAAGAUCAGUGGCACCACCUGUAAGAAAUGAAGAUGACAACUUGGUUGGCUUUGGGAUUAAUGCAGACAAGACUUGGUGGGAUAUUUGGGAGAGCAGAGCAGAUGGAUAUGCUGCAUUCAUCCUCCAAAAACAGUGUGUUCCAGGCAGCAAAAUGUAUCGGCUGCAGCAAUACCUCACUCAGAAAAAGAGACAGCUUCAGAGUGUUUCAGAGGAACUUGCUUCCUCUGGCCUUGCAGCAUCUGCCUCUCAUCCUCUAGAAAUGGAGGAUGAUGAAGAAUUGGAGAGAAUGAUGCUUUCUAUAUCCCCAUCAAAACUCCAAGGCCAACUGAAAGUGGAGGAGGGUGAAGAAUUGGGUAGGAUGAUGCUACCCGCAUAUUCAUCUAAAAUUCCAGGCCAGCUGAGUGAGAACCACAUACAUGCCCGAACACACAUACACUUCAAUCCUCUAUAUGCAACAUCGGGUCCCUAAUGAACAAAUAAUUGAAAAUAUGGGAUACCCAGAAUAAUCAAAUAUCUAACUUAAUACAAAACCAAUAGUUAGGAUUAAUUCCUAAUUAUAAACGAUAUAUAUGUAAUAACCAUUUGAAAUUGGAGUCAGAUUAAGCGUGCAGCUAAAGUAAAAUUGAAAAUAAAUAAAAAAAAUUAACUGAAAUUCACAGGGGCACUGAAAAGACAUACACGCAUAAUACCUUCGCUCAUGCCAUUGGAUUCCGUCGUUGGGCCUACAGGUCAUGAUCCUGACACAUUGUUAUUCAGCGUUAAGAUGGUAAAUGUUUGGGAUGUUACAAUGUUUCUGCGCUGUGCACAAGUUAUUGGAGUCCAUAUGGCCAAAUGUCCUCAGACUGCACAUUGGGGAUGAUUCUGACAUCAAUCAGGAUUAUCCAUCCAACAUACUAACAAAUAACUGUUUGUUUAUUAGGCUUGAUCAGGCAAGUUCUACCGCCUGUAAAUUGUUUUAUUAACAGGAAAGGCUUUUAUAUGCCAUUCUGUCUGUUUAUGUUAUAACUGCUUGAAAGUUAAAUUAUCUCCACUAUGCUUUCAGGUUCAGAAGUUGUUGGAGUCCCAGUGGUCAAAGGUCUUAUUCUACUGCAUACAAGGGAUGAUUCUGACAUGAAUCAGGAUUAUCUGUUCUGCAUUGAUUUGUUGCUGUUUGUUGUUUAGGCCAUGUUCAGGCCUGUUCUUAUUCUUGUGUUCAAUUGUUCUACUAACAUUGAAGGCAUUUAUAUCUCAUCAUUGACGGUAAGUACAGAGUUCUUUUUUUGCAUGUUUUUUCCAUGCUUUACUUAAGAGGAUUGGUAUGUACAUGAUUUAAAGAGUAAUGCAGAAGUACAGCAAAAGUACAAAUAUGUAUUAAUUUGGACUAGAAGGAUGCAUCCCAUUUGAUACAUGAAGCUGUAGUUUACUCAUGUAAUGUAGACCCAUUCACAUACCUCACCCCUAAUAUUAUAAAGAGUCUUGACGUGUUCUAUGGGUUUGCAUGCAUUUACAUUACUAUUUAUUAAGACAUUUACUAAGGGACAGUACUACAGGGUAUUUGAAUGACAUUACAUUUUUCUGUGUUAGGGAGGCGUAAACCACCAGCAACACUCUCAAAACCAGAACGGCCUGAUGAAUAUAGUGCUACUGCAUCUCCAUGGUCAGGUUGGUAUAUGGGCGUGUAAACAUGUCGACUCUACUGUAUGGAUAUGCCUGUUCCUCAUCAGUGUUAUUUUUUUUCACCAAUUCCAUUCACUCCAGUGACGGUUCCUUUGCCAGUAUCUCCAGAGUUGCUUGAAUUAUCUAUUAGCAAGACCACAUUGGCUUUGAGACCAGCGCAGGAAACCGUGUUCUGUCAGUGUAAGGACUUAACAUAAUUUUACAUUACAUACAUUUACAUUUAGUCAUUUAGCAGACGCUUUUAUCCAUAGCGACUUACAAAUGAGGACAAUGGAAGCAAUCAAAAACAACAACAGAGCAAUGAUAAACAAGUGCCAUAACAAGUCUCAGUAAGCUUAAACGCAGGGCUUUUAAAUAAUAGAAGAAUAGAAUAGAGCAAGGUAGUGUUAGAGGACUUUUUUAUAUAAUUGUACAAUAAAUGAAAAGAAAAUAGAAUACAAAAAGAUAAUUAAGAUAGAUAGUUAGAUUUUUUUUUAGUAUAGAAUAGUGUAGAAUAGUCAGUGCUAAAGUUAGAGUAUCAAAUAAUGAUGGAAGAGAUGUGUUUUAAGCCGAUUCUUGAAGAUGGCUAAGGACUCAGCUGCUUGGAUUGAUUAAUUUUAAAGAGAUUUAACAUUUUGACAAAUGUAAUGCUCAUCUAUGAUUAAUGUCACCCAUGUCAUCCUGCAGCCCUCCUCCCAGUGACCACUGCACAGUCUACAACCUCUACUCCUCCCUCAGGACCCCCUGCAGCUGCUGGCCAGUCUUUCUCUGGAAUCCCUGCAGCCUCUACUGGGUACCCCUCAAUUCAGCUGGAGGAGAAUCAUGCUGUUCCACCACUGCCAAGCUAUGAGCAGGAUGUGAGCCGAUGGCACUGCU